GGAUGAAGCCAAGGGGCCAAGGAGGGUCCCUGGCAGGGGAGGGCUGAGGGGGACUGGCUUAACAGAGGGGCAAGCCGCACCUCCAACCCCAGCGAGCUCCUCCAAACUGGCCUUCCUCUCGUGGGCUCUCCUGGCUCCUGAGAAGUCCUCAGCUCUGUCUCAUACCAGGAAGCCUCUAACUCCCAGUGUCACCUUCUUGGCCCAUGAAUUGGGCUCAGGCUUAGGUCACAGCUUGGCCUCAGGGCUCUGUGUGGCU
rnacentral:lncRNA from 1 species